GAGGACCACCGAACAGACACCGUUUCAUAACUCAAUGGAAAAAAGGCCCAUCUAUCUUACGAGUCAUCUGCGUCUCCAUCUCAACCGGUCUUUUCCAUUUCAAAGAAUCAAGGGAUUUGAAGGACAAAUACUCCAAACUUGGCUGACCUACCAUCAAUUCUGAAAAUCAACAUAAGACCCAGAUUUGAGUGAAAAUAAUAUGCUCCCAGGCAAUACCGAUUUCAAUGGAUUUGUUUACCAGCAGGAUAGACCGAUUCCGAGCACUGAAGAAAGGAGGUUUGCCUCCAAAUCAUCCGCAGUCAGAGCAUCCUCCCUCCACACAUAUAUUAAGUUUCCUAACAAUACCUUGUAUGUUUUUCUGUUGCCUCCGAUUGAUUGUUCGGAUGGUUUUCGUCUGCCUGCUAUUGUUCCGAUAGCUAUUGUUGUCCAACCCGCA
rnacentral:lncRNA from 1 species